rnacentral:snRNA from 1 species
GUGCUCACUUCAGCAGCACAUACAUUAAAAUUAGAAUGAUACAGAGAAGUUUCGCAUGGCUCCUGCACAAGGAUGACAUGUUUAAAAAAAUUUCUUUCUUCUU